rnacentral:rRNA from 1 species
GGGUUGUGAGGUUAAGCGACUAAGCGUACACGGUGGAUGCCCUGGCAGUCAGAGGCGAUGAAGGACGUGCUAAUCUGCGAAAAGCGUCGGUAAGGUGAUAUGAACCGUUAUAACCGGCGAUGUCCGAAUGGGGAAACCCAGUGCAAUUCGUUGCACUAUCGUUAACUGAAUACAUAGGUUAACGAGGCGAACCGGGGAACUGAAACAUCUAAGUACCCCGAGGAAAAGAAAUCAACCGAGAUUCCCCAGUAGCGGCGAGCGAACGGGGAGCAGCCCAGAGUCUGAAUCAGCUUGUGUGUUAGUGGAACGGUCUGGAAAGUCCGACGGUACAGGGUGAUAGUCCCGUACACCAAAAUGCACAGGCUGUGAACUCGAAGAGUAGGGCGGGACACGUGGUAUCCUGUCUGAAUAUGGGGGACCAUCCUCCAAGGCUAAAUACUCCUGACUGACCGAUAGUGAACCAGUACCGUGAGGGAAAGGCGAAAAGAACCCCGGCGAGGGGAGUGAAAAGAACCUGAAACCGUGUACGUACAAGCAGUGGGAGCACCUUCGGGUGUGACUGCGUACCUUUGUAUAAUGGGUCAGCGACUUAUAUUCUGUAGCAAGGUUAACCGUAUAGGGGCCGCAGGGAAACCGAGUCUUAACUGGGCGUUAAGUUGCAGGGUAUAGACCCGAAACCCGGUGAUCUAGCCAUGGGCAGGUUGAAGGUUGGGUAACACUAACUGGAGGACCGAACCGACUAAUGUUGAAAAAUUAGCGGAUGACUUGUGGCUGGGGGUGAAAGGCCAAUCAAACCGGGAGAUAGCUGGUUCUCCCCGAAAGCUAUUUAGGUAGCGCCUCGUGAACUCAUCUUCGGGGGUAGAGCACUGUUUCGGCUAGGGGGUCAUCCCGACUUACCAACCCGAUGCAAACUACGAAUACCGAAGAAUGUUAUCACGGGAGACACACGGCGGGUGCUAACGUCCGUCGUGAAGAGGGAAACAACCCAGACCGCCAGCUAAGGUCCCAAAGUCAUGGUUAAGUGGGAAACGAUGUGGGAAGGCACAGACAGCCAGGAUGUUGGCUUAGAAGCAGCCAUCAUUUAAAGAAAGCGUAAUAGCUCACUGGUCGAGUCGGCCUGCGCGGAAGAUGUAACGGGGCUAAACCAUGCACCGAAGCUGCGGCAGCGACACUAUGUGUUGUUGGGUAGGGGAGCGUUCUGUAAGCCUGCGAAGGUGUGCUGUGAGGCAUGCUGGAGGUAUCAGAAGUGCGAAUGCUGACAUAAGUAACGAUAAAGCGGGUGAAAAGCCCGCUCGCCGGAAGACCAAGGGUUCCUGUCCAACGUUAAUCGGGGCAGGGUGAGUCGACCCCUAAGGCGAGGCCGAAAGGCGUAGUCGAUGGGAAACAGGUUAAUAUUCCUGUACUUGGUGUUACUGCGAAGGGGGGACGGAGAAGGCUAUGUUAGCCGGGCGACGGUUGUCCCGGUUUAAGCAUGUAGGCUGAUUGUCCAGGCAAAUCCGGAUAAUCAAGGCUGAGGUGUGAUGACGAGGCACUACGGUGCUGAAGUAACAAAUGCCCUGCUUCCAGGAAAAGCCUCUAAGCAUCAGGUAACAUCAAAUCGUACCCCAAACCGACACAGGUGGUCAGGUAGAGAAUACCAAGGCGCUUGAGAGAACUCGGGUGAAGGAACUAGGCAAAAUGGUGCCGUAACUUCGGGAGAAGGCACGCUGGUGUGUAGGUGAAGUCCCUGCGGAUGGAGCUGAGACCAGUCGAAGAUACCAGCUGGCUGCAACUGUUUAUUAAAACACAGCACUGUGCAAACACGAAAGUGGACGUAUACGGUGUGACGCCUGCCCGGUGCCGGAAGGUUAAUUGAUGGGGUUAUCCGUAAGGAGAAGCUCUUGAUCGAAGCCCCGGUAAACGGCGGCCGUAACUAUAACGGUCCUAAGGUAGCGAAAUUCCUUGUCGGGUAAGUUCCGACCUGCACGAAUGGCGUAAUGAUGGCCAGGCUGUCUCCACCCGAGACUCAGUGAAAUUGAACUCGCUGUGAAGAUGCAGUGUACCCGCGGCAAGACGGAAAGACCCCGUGAACCUUUACUAUAGCUUGACACUGAACAUUGAGCCUUGAUGUGUAGGAUAGGUGGGAGGCUUUGAAGCGUGGACGCCAGUCUGCGUGGAGCCAACCUUGAAAUACCACCCUUUAAUGUUUGAUGUUCUAACGUUGGCCCCUGACCGGGGUUGCGGACAGUGUCUGGUGGGUAGUUUGACUGGGGCGGUCUCCUCCCAAAGCGUAACGGAGGAGCACGAAGGUUAGCUAAUCCUGGUCGGACAUCAGGAGGUUAGUGCAAUGGCAUAAGCUAGCUUGACUGCGAGCGUGACGGCGCGAGCAGGUGCGAAAGCAGGUCAUAGUGAUCCGGUGGUUCUGAAUGGAAGGGCCAUCGCUCAACGGAUAAAAGGUACUCCGGGGAUAACAGGCUGAUACCGCCCAAGAGUUCAUAUCGACGGCGGUGUUUGGCACCUCGAUGUCGGCUCAUCACAUCCUGGGGCUGAAGUAGGUCCCAAGGGUAUGGCUGUUCGCCAUUUAAAGUGGUACGCGAGCUGGGUUUAGAACGUCGUGAGACAGUUCGGUCCCUAUCUGCCGUGGGCGCUGGAGAAUUGAGGGGGGGGCUGCUCCUAGUACGAGAGGACCGGAGUGGACGCAUCACUGGUGUUCGGGUUGUCAUGCCAAUGGCACUGCCCGGUAGCUAAAUGCGGAAGAGAUAAGUGCUGAAAGCAUCUAAGCACGAAACUUGCCCCGAGAUGAGUUCUCCCUGAGACUUUAAGUCUCCUGAAGGAACGUUAAAGACGAUGACGUUGAUAGGCCGGGUGUGUAAGCGCAGCGAUGCGUUGAGCUAACCGGUACUAAUGAACCGUGAGGCUUAACCUUACAACGCCGAAG